UUGUUUUCAAAUUUUAUUUUAUUUUACCAUUUCUAAAACUUCUCAUAUCUAUCCAAAUAUAAAUUAUUUGCCAUCAUUCACGCAAAAUUUAGAAGUAAGUUUUCCAUCACUUUGUUUUCAGCUCGGCUUGGUUUAGAAAUCGGCUCGUCUCCAAUCUAAAAUAACAGCUCGGUGACUUGCUAUAACGGCUCAGCUUCACGGCUAAAUUUGUUCCUUUUCUCGUGUCCCAAAACGCCGCGUUUUGGAAAAGUCUAAAAGCUCCUUUCAAGCAUUGCCCUUCAUUUUUCAAUUUCUUCUCUCUAAAAGCCAAAGUUCUCAAACGUCCUCUACUCCUUAAAGCAUCGGCACCGGGAAACAUACAAUACCCAGAUUCUGUCAGCCUUCCGCCGUGCCGUUCGUCUUAUGUUGCCGAUCGCAACCGUCGCUGGUGACCAGAAAUUAGCUAGGUAAUUAUCUUUCCAGAUUCGUCUUCUCCUCUGUUUCUUUAUUUUCUUCCUCUCUGAAAUUCCUAUUUCUCUGCUCUCCAGAAGCUUAGGAAUUCCUAGACCCAUAACCCAGGUUUUCGAAUUCCCACUGACCUCAGUCAAUGCUGCUGCCGUGCGCCGUCAUCAACAACGUGAGCCACGACCACCACUACCUUCUGUUGCUGCUCAAGGUUAGAAUGAAGCCACUGGAAAUCGCAUGUUGGCCUCUCUGUUUUUCACCACCAAAAAACUCCUCUCACCCUUUUUUCUGGUGUUUUUCUCCUCUUUUUGGGUUCAAACAGCGCCUCCUUCUUAGGUUGAUUGUGAGAUUUUUCGAUUGUGUUUCUAUUUGCUGAGAUUUGGUUGAAGCUGGGUUUUUUCGGUUUUGCUACUUCUGGGCUUUUUAUUGGUGAGUGUAUGUGCUCUGUGAGUGCUGGGUUGUGAAUCGGGGCUGUUGGUUUUGGUUAUUUGAUGGGAUGAGGAAGCUGGGUGAAUGUGGGUUUCUGUGGCUGGGUAAAUAUGAGUUUGAUGGCUAGGUAGUAAUGCAGUGGUGUUGUAUGAUUGCUGAAGAUCAAGGACGGCUUUGUUGAUGAGAGUUAAUCCCGACUAAUGGUGCUGGUAAUGGCAAGGUGGUGAUGACAACAGGAUGGCAGCUUGUGCUGAUGAAAUUGCUGGAUAUGGGUUCGGGAGAGUUUCGGCUGAAUUGCUGGUGUUAAGUGUAUUGUGGGCUGAAUUUGAUUAAUAUUUGUGGAGUAUGGGGAAUUGGCUGGCUAAUGGUGGCAAUGGUAGUGUCAAUGGCUGUUGUGGAGAUGGUGGUUUCGAGUCUAUAGGGAGAGCGUGAUGAAAUCGCUGCUGGAUAUGGCUGAGAACCAUUUCGCUCACUGCUCUUGCUUUUUUUCGACAUUGUUCCCCCUCUUUUGCCAGUCAUUCUGUCCUGAUAAAGGGAAUGAGUCCUCAUUUGAAUAGAACUCCAAUCUGCCGAAUUUACUUGAUUCUUAUCACUUAAAAAUUUGUUUAUCUCAAUCCAGGCUUGAUUUCAAAUUUCUUAACGGGUUUGAUCUUUAUCCAACUUCUGGUUUCACUUUUGAUUUCCAAAUUACAGAAAAAAGAUAAAUAAAGAAUAAGAAAUAAAAUAAAAAGAGUAAGGAAAAAUAAAUAAAUAAAAAUAUAAAAGACUAAACUAAUGUUG
rnacentral:lncRNA from 1 species